CCUACGGGCGGCAGCAGUAGGGAAUUUUCGUCAAUGGGCGCAAGCCUGAACGAGCAAUGCCGCGUGAACGAGGAAGGUCUUCGGAUCGUAAAGUUCUGUUGACGGGGAAAAAGAGCGGAGAGAGGAAAUGCUUUCUGUUUGAUUUUAUCCUUCGAGGAAGUCACGGUUAACUACGUGCCAACAGCCGCGGUAAAACGUAGGUGGCGAGGUUUAUCCGAAAUGGUUGGGCGAAAGGGGUGCGUAGGCGGCCUGCUAAGUCUGGAGUGAAAGGUACCGGCUCAACCGGUACAGGCUCUGGAAACUGGCGGGCUAGAGAGCAGGAGAGGGCGGUGGAACUCCAUGUGUAGCGGUAAAAUGCGUAGAUAUAUGGAAGAACACCAGUGGCGAAGGCGGCCGCCUGGCCUGUUACUGACGCUGAGGCACGAAAGCGUGGGGAGCAAAUAGGAUUAGAUACCCGGGUAGUC
rnacentral:rRNA from 1 species